CCUACGGGUGGCAGCAGUGGGGAAUAUUGGACAAUGGGCGAAAGCCUGAUCCAGCCAUGCCGCGUGUGUGAAGAAGGCCUUCGGGUUGUAAAGCACUUUCAGUGGGGAAGAAAGCCUUGGGGCUAAUACCCUCGAGGAAGGACAUCACCCACAGAAGAAGCACCGGCUAACUCCGUGCCAGCAGCCGCGGUAAUACGGGAGGGUGCGAGCGUUAAUCGGAAUUACUGGGCGUAAAGCGCGCGUAGGCGGUCUGAUAAGCCGGUUGUGAAAGCCCCGGGCUCAACCUGGGAACGGCAUCCGGAACUGUCAGGCUAGAGUGCAGGAGAGGAAGGUAGAAUUCCCGGUGUAGCGGUGAAAUGCGUAGAGAUCGGGAGGAAUACCAGUGGCGAAGGCGGCCUUCUGGACUGACACUGACGCUGAGGUGCGAAAGCGUGGGUAGCAAACAGGAUUAGAUACCCCGGUAGUC
rnacentral:rRNA from 1 species